rnacentral:lncRNA from 1 species
UUUUGGGAGGCUGCUGCCAGAGGGGGGGGGGAGGGUGGAAGGAGAGCUAUUGAUGUGCAAAUUGCUACAACAACUUACUGGACAGACAUACACGCAAAGUUUAUGCAGAUGAGCUUUCGUAAUUAGCUGUCAAAGCUCUUCAGACGUUAAAAGAAAUUGUAGGGUGGAAGGAGAGCUAUUGAUGUGCAAAUUGCUACAACAACUUACUGGACAGACAUACACGCAAAGUUUAUGCAGAUGAGCUUUCGUAAUUAGCUGUCAAAGCUCUUCAGACGUUAAAAGAAAUUGUAGGUUUUCACCUACAAUAACCACUAACUACACAAUCAUGUCCUAUUUCUUAAAGAUAAUUGGAUUACUAACAUUUAAUAGAGUUGUCAGACCUUUUUAAGAUUUUUAUGUCCUUACAAUUAUUAUUAUUGUUAUUUUGGUGGGGGUAGGGUAUGGUGACAGUCAGCUGUGGUGAUUGAAAGGGACUUUAUAUAGGCAGAUACAGAUGGAAAGAGGCACAGUGACAGUCAUGUAUAAAG